rfam:Clonorchis sinensis DNA, scaffold: 1061, strain: Henan.
UCCCGCGUGGUCUAGCGGUUAGGAUUCCUGGCUUUCACCCAGGCGGCCCGGGUUCGACUCCCGGCGCGGGAG